CGAGGCGCAUGCCUAUACAUGCAGUCGAGCGGAUUUAGAAAAGCUUGCUUUUCUAAAUUAGCGGCGGACGGGUGAGUAACACGUGGGCAACCUGCCUGUAAGACUGGGAUAACACCGGGAAACCGGUGCUAAUACCGGAUAAUCCUUUUCCUCACAUGAGGGGAAGCUGAAAGACGGUUUCGGCUGUCACUUACAGAUGGGCCCGCGGCGCAUUAGCUAGUUGGUGGGGUAACGGCCCACCAAGGCAACGAUGCGUAGCCGACCUGAGAGGGUGAUCGGCCACACUGGGACUGAGACACGGCCCAGACUCCUACGGGAGGCAGCAGUAGGGAAUCUUCCGCAAUGGACGAAAGUCUGACGGAGCAACGCCGCGUGAGCGAAGAAGGCCUUCGGGUCGUAAAGCUCUGUUGUCAGGGAAGAACAAGUACCGGAGUAACUGCCGGUACCUUGACGGUACCUGACCAGAAAGCCACGGCUAACUACGUGCCAGCAGCCGCGGUAAUACGUAGGUGGCAAGCGUUGUCCGGAAUUAUUGGGCGUAAAGCGCGCGCAGGCGGUCCUUUAAGUCUGAUGUGAAAGCCCACGGCUCAACCGUGGAGGGUCAUUGGAAACUGGGGGACUUGAGUGCAGAAGAGGAGAGCGGAAUUCCACGUGUAGCGGUGAAAUGCGUAGAGAUGUGGAGGAACACCAGUGGCGAAGGCGGCUCUCUGGUCUGUAACUGACGCUGAGGCGCGAAAGCGUGGGGAGCAA
rnacentral:rRNA from 1 species